GAUGAACGCUGGCGGCGUGCCUAAUACAUGCAAGUCGAGCGAACGGACGAGAAGCUUGCUUCUCUGAUGUUAGCGGCGGACGGGUGAGUAACACGUGGAUAACCUACCUAUAAGACUGGGAUAACUUCGGGAAACCGGAGCUAAUACCGGAUAAUAUUUUGAACCGCAUGGUUCAAAAGUGAAAGACGGUCUUGCUGUCACUUAUAGAUGGAUCCGCGCUGCAUUAGCUAGUUGGUAAGGUAACGGCUUACCAAGGCAACGAUGCAUAGCCGACCUGAGAGGGUGAUCGGCCACACUGGAACUGAGACACGGUCCAGACUCCUACGGGAGGCAGCAGUAGGGAAUCUUCCGCAAUGGGCGAAAGCCUGACGGAGCAACGCCGCGUGAGUGAUGAAGGUCUUCGGAUCGUAAAACUCUGUUAUUAGGGAAGAACAUAUGUGUAAGUAACUGUGCACAUCUUGACGGUACCUAAUCAGAAAGCCACGGCUAACUACGUGCCAGCAGCCGCGGUAAUACGUAGGUGGCAAGCGUUAUCCGGAAUUAUUGGGCGUAAAGCGCGCGUAGGCGGUUUUUUAAGUCUGAUGUGAAAGCCCACGGCUCAACCGUGGAGGGUCAUUGGAAACUGGAAAACUUGAGUGCAGAAGAGGAAAGUGGAAUUCCAUGUGUAGCGGUGAAAUGCGCAGAGAUAUGGAGGAGCACCAGUGGCGAAGGCGACUUUCUGGUCUGUAACUGACGCUGAUGUGCGAAAGCGUGGGGAUCAAACAGGAUUAGAUACCCUGGUAGUCCACGCCGUAAACGAUGAGUGCUAAGUGUUAGGGGGUUUCCGCCCCUUAGUGCUGCAGCUAACGCAUUAAGCACUCCGCCUGGGGAGUACGACCGCAAGGUUGAAACUCAAAGGAAUUGACGGGGACCCGCACAAGCGGUGGAGCAUGUGGUUUAAUUCGAAGCAACGCGAAGAACCUUACCAAAUCUUGACAUCCUUUGACAACUCUAGAGAUAGAGCUUUCCCCUUCGGGGGACAAAGUGACAGGUGGUGCAUGGUUGUCGUCAGCUCGUGUCGUGAGAUGUUGGGUUAAGUCCCGCAACGAGCGCAACCCUUAAGCUUAGUUGCCAUCAUUAAGUUGGGCACUCUAAGUUGACUGCCGGUGACAAACCGGAGGAAGGUGGGGAUGACGUCAAAUCAUCAUGCCCCUUAUGAUUUGGGCUACACACGUGCUACAAUGGACAAUACAAAGGGCAGCGAAACCGUGAGGUCAAGCAAAUCCCAUAAAUUUGUUCUCAGUUCGGAUUGUAGUCUGCAACUCGACUACAUGAAGCUGGAAUCGCUAGUAAUCGUAGAUCAGCAUGCUACGGUGAAUACGUUCCCGGGUCU
rnacentral:rRNA from 1 species